UCAAAGACAAAGACUUGGAGCUGAACCCGUAAGCAUAUUUCCUUUUGAUUUCUCAGGUAAGGUUUUUAGUUGUUUUAAGAAGAUGGGCUGAUCAUGUCUUCGAUCUACAUAUAUAUUCUUAAGUUGUGAUGAGAAAUCCCUAUCGAUCAAACUUCCUUUGCUCUCACCAUCUCUGAUUAAACGCCAGGUCUCCCAAAACCUCACCCCAUGCCUUGCAUAUGCUCUUUCUCUCUCUGGAACUUUAGGCGGCACCAUCGUUCCACCGCCUUCCCCCUCCACCUCCUGUCUAACCCUAAACCGCCAUUAAAUCUCCGUACACACAAACAUGCACACUCUAAAGAAAACCCUAGAUGUAUGUCAUUUGCCAAUGCUGAUAUUAGACGUUGACGCUACAAUUGAAUGAGUCAAGGAGGCAUUUCAUGUGAAUCCAUAUCUGUUCUUAGACUUGACCACCUACAUAUCUAUGAAGGUCGAUAUAACUGAUAAUCCAUAGAUGCCCACCUGUUGCUUACAUUACCACUGCUGGCAGCUACUUCUUCCCUUGUAGAUGAGAGUAAUUGGCUGUGGUUUCAGGGUAUUCAACUCAUGUAGCCUACUUCCUUUUUUGCAUCUUUGAAAGCAUUAUGAUAUGGGGAAAUGUCAUGAGGCAUGGCGUCUGAAAUUCUCUUUACUUUAUUUUUAGUUUCUGCAUUCUAUUGUUUUUUUGUACCUUUAUGUCUUAUCUGUGUGCUAUCUUUUGUUGUGUUCAUAGUCUAUCAAAAACGUUGACUCUUGGAUGUUAGCUACAUGUAUCAAAACGUCAAAUUCAAAGUCAAAUCAAUGAUAACAGAUGAUUAAAUCACUUACUUGGACCUAUUUAAUCUGUUUUUGUCUAAUUUUUACAUAGCGUUUGAAGAAGAUGAUACACAUUGAAAGAUGCAUAACGUAGUUGAGGUGCUAUUCAGCCAUUUGUGAUAGAGCCUGGUGAAUUUGUUGUUAUUAAAUGUGUUGCUAUUGUAGCAUUGUACAUGUAUUUAACUAUGAAUGUAUUGCUACUGAAUGCCAUUAUUGGGAUAGAUGUUACAAAGAACAAUGUCAUUAUUUAGAAAAAUAAUGAAUUUGAUAAAAUUUGCAACUACCACAACUGGGAUGGACUUCCUGCAAUAAAUUUUGAAAAUCGAUUUGGCAUUCAUUUUUUGUC